rnacentral:rRNA from 1 species
UGGGGAAUUUUGGACAAUGGGGGCAACCCUGAUCCAGCCAUGCCGCGUGAGUGAAGAAGGCCUUCGGGUUGUAAAGCUCUUUCGGCCGGGAAGAAAUCGCAUGGGUUAAUACCCUGUGCGGAUGACGGUACCGGCAUAAGAAGCACCGGCUAACUACGUGCCAGCAGCCGCGGUAAUACGUAGGGUGCGAGCGUUAAUCGGAAUUACUGGGCGUAAAGCGUGCGCAGGCGGUUUUGUAAGACAGGCGUGAAAUCCCCGGGCUCAACCUGGGAACUGCGCUUGUGACUGCAANGCUAGAGUACGGCAGAGGGGGGUGGAAUUCCACGUGUAGCAGUGAAAUGCGUAGAGAUGUGGAGGAACACCAAUGGCGAAGGCAGCCCCCUGGGUCGAUACUGACGCUCAUGCACGAAAGCGUGGGUAGCAAACAGGAUUAGAUACCCUGGUAGUCCACGCCCUAAACGAUGUCAACUAGGUGUUGGGUGGGUAAAACCAUUUAGUACCGUAGCUAACGCGUGAAGUUGACCGCCUGGGGAGUACGGCCGCAAGGUU